rnacentral:rRNA from 1 species
CUAAGAGAUGGAUUUCAGGGAAAGUUUUUUUAAAUUUAAUAAUUAAAGUUAUUUUAAUUUGUGAAGAAACAAUUAUAUAAAUUAAGGACAAGAAGACCCUAAGAAUUUAAGAAUUCUUAUGUUACUUAAAUAUAAAAUAGGAAUUCUUAGUUGGGGCAACUAAAAAACAUUAUAAACUUUUUUUCUUUAAAAUGACCCAUUAUUAAUGAUAAUAUGAUUAAAUACUCUAGGG